AAGAUUUUAGUUAAAAUAAUAACAAUAGCUUGUCAAGCUAUAAUUAUAUAAAUAAUAUAAAUCUUA
rnacentral:tRNA from 1 species